rnacentral:rRNA from 1 species
AUUGAACGCUGGCGGCAGGCUUAUCUCAUGCAAGUCGAACGAGUGGCGGACGGGUGAGUAAUGCUUGGGAAUCUAGCUUAUGGAGGGGGAUAACUACGGGAAACUGUAGCUAAUACCGCGUACCAUAGGAUGAGCCCAAGUGGGAUUAGGUAGUUGGUGUGGUAUAGGCUCACCACGCCGACGAUCUCUAGCUGGUCUGAGAGGAUGACCAGCCAGCAGGGGACUGAGACACGGCCCAUACUCCGACGGGAGGAAGCAGUGGGGAAUAUUGCGCAAUGGGGGCAACCUGACGCAGCCAUGCCGCGUGAAGGAAGAAGGCCUUCGGGUUGUAAAGUUCUUUCGGUAGCGAGGCGUUAACUACAGAAGAAGCACCGGCUAACUCCGUGAGAGCCGCCGCGGUAAUAC